rnacentral:rRNA from 1 species
AUUGAACGCUGGCGGCAGGCCUAACACAUGCAAGUCGAACCGUAACAGGAAGAAGCUUGCUUCUUUGCUGACGAGUGGCGGACGGGUGAGUAAUGUCUGGGAAACUGCCUGAUGGAGGGGGAUAACUACUGGAAACGGUAGCUAAUACCGCAUAACGUCGCAAGACCAAAGAGGGGGACCUUCGGGCCUCUUGCCAUCGGAUGUGCCCAGAUGGGAUUCGCUAGUAGGUGGGGUAACGGCUCACCUAGGCGACGAUCCCUAGCUGGUCUGAGAGGCUGACCGGCCACACUGGAACUGAGACAGGGUCCAGACUCCUACGGGAGGCAGCAGUGGGGAAUGUUGCACAAUGGGCGCAAGCCUGAUGCAGCCAUGCCGCGUGUAUGAAGAAGGCCUUCGGGUUGUAAAGUACUUUCAGCGGGGAGGAAGGGAGUAAAGUUAAUACCUUGGCUCAUUGACGUUACCCGCAGAAGAAGCACCGGCUAACUCCGUG